GAUGAACGCUGGCGGCGUGCCUAAUACAUGCAAGUCGAGCGAACAGACGAGGAGCUUGCUCCUCUGACGUUAGCGGCGGACGGGUGAGUAACACGUGGAUAACCUACCUAUAAGACUGGGAUAACUUCGGGAAACCGGAGCUAAUACCGGAUAAUAUAUUGAACCGCAUGGUUCAAUAGUGAAAGACGGAUUUGCUGUCACUUAUAGAUGGAUCCGCGCCGCAUUAGCUAGUUGGUAAGGUAACGGCUUACCAAGGCAACGAUGCGUAGCCGACCUGAGAGGGUGAUCGGCCACACUGGAACUGAAACACGGUCCAGACUCCUACGGGAGGCAGCAGUAGGGAAUCUUCCGCAAUGGGCGAAAGCCUGACGGAGCAACGCCGCGUGAGUGAUGAAGGUCUUCGGAUCGUAAAACUCUGUUAUUAGGGAAGAACAAAUGUGUAAGUAACUAUGCACGUCUUGACGGUACCUAAUCAGAAAGCCACGGCUAACUACGUG
rnacentral:rRNA from 1 species